UGUUAUUGUAGUUUAUUUAGAAUUUGUAACUUGUAAUUACAAGGUAAAAAUAAC
rnacentral:tRNA from 1 species